GCUACUGUGAGCGAAGAGUCGCCCCCAGAAAGCCACUGGUAACCCGGGAAGGCGGGAGGCGACGAUGACCGCGAGCCAGGAGACCUGCCCGCCUGUCAUCGCUCCC
rnacentral:ncRNA from 2 species